rnacentral:rRNA from 1 species
CUGGCUCAGGAUGAACGCUGGCGGCGUGCCUAAUACAUGCAAGUCGAGCGAACGGACGAGAAGCUUGCUUCUCUGAUGUUAGCGGCGGACGGGUGAGUAACACGUGGAUAACCUACCUAUAAGACUGGGAUAACUUCGGGAAACCGGAGCUAAUACCGGAUAAUAUUUUGAACCGCAUGGUUCAAAAGUGAAAGACGGUCUUGCUGUCACUUAUAGAUGGAUCCGCGCUGCAUUAGCUAGUUGGUAAGGUAACGGCUUACCAAGGCAACGAUGCAUAGCCGACCUGAGAGGGUGAUCGGCCACACUGGAACUGAGACACGGUCCAGACUCCUACGGGAGGCAGCAGUAGGGAAUCUUCCGCAAUGGGCGAAAGCCUGACGGAGCAACGCCGCGUGAGUGAUGAAGGUCUUCGGAUCGUAAAACUCUGUUAUUAGGGAAGAACAUAUGUGUAAGUAACUGUGCACAUCUUGA